rnacentral:rRNA from 1 species
CAGUAGCCGCGGUAACACGUAGGGUGCGAGCGUUAAUCGGAAUUACUGGGCGUAAAGCGUGCGCAGGCGGUUGUGUAAGACAGGUGUGAAAUCCCCGGGCUUAAUCUGGGAACUGCGCUUGUGACUGCACAGCUAGAGUAUGGCAGAGGGGGGUGGAAUUCCACGUGUAGCAGUGAAAUGCGUAGAGAUGUGGAGGAACACCGGUGGCGAAGGCAGCCCCCUGGGCCAAUACUGACGCUCAUGCAUGAAAGCGUGGGGAGCAAACAGGAUUAGAUACCCCGGUAGUCCCUGUCUCUUAUCC